rnacentral:rRNA from 1 species
AGGAAGGUAGUGUAGUUAACACCUGCAUUAUUUGACGUUACCUACAGAAGAAGCACCGGCUAACUCCGUGCCAGCAGCCGCGGUAAUACGGAGGGUGCGAGCGUUAAUCGGAAUUACUGGGCGUAAAGACGCAUGCAGGCGGCCUGUUAAGUCAGAUGUGAAAGACCCGGGGCGUUAACCUCCGGAAUUGCAUUUGUAAACUAGGCAGGCUAGAGUCUUGUAGAGGGGGGUAGGAAUUUCUAGGUGUAGCGGUGAAAUAGCGUAGAGAUCUGAAGGAAUACCAGUGGCGAAGGCGGCCCCCUCGGACAAAGACUGACGCUCAGAUGCGAAAGCGUGGGGAGCAAACAGGAUUAGAUACCCCUGGUAG